rnacentral:rRNA from 1 species
ACGUACACUCCUGCGGGAGGCAGCAGUGAGGAAUAUUGGACAAUGGGUGGAAGCCUGAUCCAGCCAUCCCGCGUGCAGGAAGACGGCCCUAUGGGUUGUAAACUGCUUUUAUCUGGGGAUAAACCUACUUACGUGUAAGUAGCUGAAGGUACCAGAAGAAUAAGCACCGGCUAACUCCGUGCCAGCAGCCGCGGUAAUACGGAGGGUGCAAGCGUUAUCCGGAUUUAUUGGGUUUAAAGGGUCCGUAGGCGGACUGAUAAGUCAGUGGUGAAAUCCGACAGCUUAACUGUCGAACUGCCAUUGAUACUGUUAGUCUUGAGUAAGGUUGAAGUGGCUGGAAUAAGUAGUGUAGCGGUGAAAUGCAUAGAUAUUACUUAGAACACCAAUUGCGAAGGCAGGUCACUAAGUCUUAACUGACGCUGAUGGACGAAAGCGUGGGGAGCGAACAGGAUUAGAAACCCUGUAGUCCC